rnacentral:lncRNA from 10 species
GGCUGCUCUAGAACAUUCUAAGUGAUAAGUCUAAAUAAAAAAAGCUGACAUAUCAAGAAUAUAAGUAGACAGUUUAUUUGGUUUAAGCUUAAGGAUUAUAACCAGGGAGCAAAGAUUCAAGUUGCCUGAAAUCUACACUUUGAUUAGCAGCAGUUACAAGAUUUGUAAAGACAAGAGAGGGACAUAGAGUGGUCUGAUACAAAGUUGUUUGUCAGAAGUUUUUAUUUAUUUAGAUAAAUAAUAUUGAUUAUUGAUUAGAUAUAUAUCAUUAUUGUUUAGGGUAUAGAAUAUAGUAUCCAAUGUGGCAUUGUUAAUUUACUUUAUAGCUACUUGUGGCAAUAGUGAACAGUUUCAAGGGAUGAAUACAUAGUUCAAAGGGGAGAGAAAGAUGUUAACUGCUCUUUCAUUUUAACAUCUCUCUGAGUUUGAUAACCAAAAGUGCUUGCACUUUUUAGAUAAAAGUUUUUUAUUUCCCAAAUCUCAAGAUCUGGAUUCAAAAUAUGGAGCUACAGAUUUAGGUCCUGAAUGGCAGGAGUAGCAGCAGGUGUUACUUGCACAUUAGUGAGCAUUUCAGCAAGAGUAGAAAGGGGAUAGUGGAGACUUUCUUGUCUACAUGUCUACUCAAUUCACAUGUUACUCCAGUUCAGUUUGUUGGCCCCACGGUCUCUGAAUCUGUUUAAGGUCUGAAAAUACAAGAGUCAUUGAAAGAGAAAAAAUUAUUGAUUGCUUCCCUGUGAAAUUUGUAGAAAUCUGAUCUAGUCUCUCUAGCAGUGACUGUAAAGGACUCUAGAUACCAAAUAGGCAGGGACACAAUUCUGCCUUCAUAUUUAGGGGACAGCAUGCACCUGGCUUUAAGCUGCUAAACUA